rnacentral:lncRNA from 1 species
UUGACUCUGUAUAAACUGAAACGUCUUUUCCAAAUGAUUAAGCCAACGCUCUGCUCCCUCAAGUCCUUCAUUUUCCAUUUAAUGAUUCAGCUUCAAUUUAUACACAGUCUCAAGAGGAAUCCUUUGGGUAAUAGACUGAAUCAUAUUAGCAAUAACUUCACCUAACUAAAAUAUAUCAGGGAAAUUAAGCUCAUCUGAACGAUGUGGCUCUCUACGAGGCGGUAUAGUUAUGACAGAAGACACUAGAAAAUUAUCAAGAUAUAUAGGACUGCAACCUAGUCUCUGAUACCAACUGACACACCCCGUCCCGAAGGAGGGCGUGUUGGCCGUCACGUGCAAGUGACGUAACCAUUUGUGCAGUGCGGAAGUUAAAAAGAUAAAUAGAAUUACGAAUAAAUAAAAGUUGAAACACUAGCAAUACUAGCUAAGAAAUGAUGCUAGUGCGAAACUCAGUGUAUAAAUACACAUUUGGAGUAAAAAGAACGUCUAGUUACAGUCGAGUAGGACAAUUACUAAGAUAUAACACCCGUAGGUAAAUCCUACUUUAGUGAAUUCUGUCAGGACACCGUUGGAUUCCUCGUGGCCACCAAACUCAGCUAAUUAGAACUUGGAGGGGCAAAAAACAAAGUUGAGUGGGUCAGUAAAACAAAUCUUUUUCAAAAAAACCUUUUCUCUUUUCAAAGGUUCUAACCCCUCGCCGUAAAACCUGUAACUUUCCCAGGAAUAUAAAAAUAUGAUUACUUAUCUCAAAACCAGCUCAAAAAUAGUGAUAUGUAAAGUAUAUGCCAUGUCAAAUAUAUUUCAUCAUAUCAUAUAAGUAUAUCAGUGAAGUAAGUUCAUCAUGAAUAACAACAUAUCAACCGAAUGAUCAGCCCGACUGAAACUAUAGCUCAUAAUCAAUCUCAUCAAUCAAUCUAGUCGGAGUCACCACAAGUGACCUGUAUGGCACUACACUGCACACAAAUCGGAACCAUUGAAAUGAUUUGUACGACAGAACUGGGUGUAAUAUAGUUAUGCUCACGCUAUCCUCUCCUGAUAGUUAUGCGAUAAAUCGUUAGUCACCUACGAGUAGUCUGUACGACAAGACUGGGUACCUAAAUUGGAUCCAAUGUGAGCAUAUGGUGCGGGGGUGACAAAAUAUAUUUACAGGCCUGAAUCACAUCUCUACUAAAUCAUAAUCACCCUAGUACAAGUUUAUAAGCUUUCAAUCACAUCAACUCAACAGUCUCAUAAUUUUAAUUUAUGAACUUACCUGGCACUUACCUGUACGUCCGCAUCACCAAUCAUGCAUGUAUGCAAUUAUUAAUGCAUAAAUAAAAUAGAUAUAUAUUUUACAUGGCAUUUCAUAAUGCAUUUCAUAUCACAUUUCACUUAAAUUGACUUUCUGGGAAAAAUCUCAUUUAUAUAGGUAUAUACGGAAAACAAAACUGCCCACUCACCUUUGCCCACUCCGUUAAUCGGAUUCCUGAUCCGUAAGUUCCUAUAAUCCUCAAAUAUUACGUACUACUACGUAUCAUAGUUUGGUGACGAUCCGAUGGUUGGA